UUGACCUCGGUUCAAGUAGGGAUACCCGCUGAACUUAAGCAUAUC
rnacentral:rRNA from 1 species